CUCGGAAUAAGCGUCAGAAGGCAUAACAUGCAGUGUCGUAAGGGUAUGAGAAGCGUGGUGGCUGUCCUGGACUAAAGUUAAACGCACAAAGUAACGCUGCCCUUUAUUAGAACAUCAGCAGCCAUUUGCAAGCUGGCGAAACUACUACUGCAACUCUUUAACCUCGAUUCCCAGGACCCUCUUCAUCCGUGCGAAACCAUCCGCGGCACCAGGCGACAAGCAGGCAGGAACCCACCUCGGAAGGAACGCCAGCAGAACUGAAGACCCAUCUCCAAUACAGCUGUGUAGACCAUGCCUGCCAUGAUGAUAUUCCCCCAAAACCGUAGGAGAACAAAUAGCCUGGAACGGUUCCUGAAGUUCAGAGAAGUCUGGCACUCCUGCUCACCCACCUUGGGUGCACCACGAAUAAAGGCCAAUCCAUUGGGUCUCCAGAAUAUGCCAAGCAAAUGUCACUUGCCAUGGAGGCUGAUGUUCAGCAGCAGGCAAACGUGACUAAGAAGGAAAGGAUGGUUAAAUGGUGCCGACCUCUUUGCAGUUUUCCUUUUUGUUUUAUAACAUGUCUAAGCUACAUCCCAAUACAGGAUUCCUGGUAAACAUUAUUUUUUGAAGGUUUAAAUCAACAGAACUUCUGCCGCUAUCGUUCUGCAUUUGCUGUAACUUGUUUAACAAGCUUCCUUUCCUUAAAAACACAGAUCCUGGUAAAGUGAGCCUCCUGAUAUGACCUAAGGUGGGCUAAAUAUACAGAUGAUUUAUUUAUUCUUUUCAGACACGCCAAUUGCAUUGCUGCAACAUAAAUUUUCCUAAUGCUGUCAUUUUUACCAAAAGGUGGCAAUCCAGAAGGUGCCAUUGAGAAUGAUUCUCAGGUUCUCUCAAACUGGGUAAUAAUGAGAAAGAAAUAAACAGAUCUACUAGCCGCUGCAUUCUAUCAGAAUUCGCUGUCAGGUUCAGGGACGGUUGCUCUGCGGGUCACCUCGGAUUUCAAAACACCUUUAUUUCUGGGGAUCUGUUAGAGGUGUGUGGAUCCAGGGAUAGGUCUGAUAUCGGAACACAUUUUUUUUCUAAAAGAAUUUUAAAUUUGCUGUUUCAGCACAGACAACAAACUUCAGUCAAUUAGAUUUAAAGUAGACACCACAAAGUAGGAAUUACAUGAAUAGCCAAUGUGAAAUCCUUGUUGUCCUGUUGUUAUUCAAGAAGAUUCAUGCAACUCCUUCAAGGAAUCCACUCCCCAGAAAUGAUACCAUUUAUUUGUUGCUUACCCCAUGUGUUUUGUAAUAAUGAGUUAUGUUUAAAAAGUGUGGUAGAAUACAAUCCAGUAGUGACCAACAGCAAUGAUGUAAAAAAAAUCAAUCAAAUUCCCUUUUUGUGUAUCGUGUAAUCCACAUGUCAGUUAUCCAGGACUCUUAACAUGCAGAACACGUGCAUUUUAUGCUAAAAUAUCAUUCAGUGUUUAUAUAAUACUAUAUUGUCUGGUCAAGAGUCCUGUCUUCAUUUGAAAAGCACAGUAUUGUGAGAAAGUGUUUCUCAUUUAUGAGGUGUGCUGAUUUUUCCAGAAUUGUUUGUUUUUUGAGCAUAUAAUCCACGCGUCUUGCAUGUGGUGAGCAAACAACUGGAUCCGUGACCCGAGUAACAUGAGAUUUCUUUUUCUUUUGUUCCCACCAUGUGCCGUUGUAUAGCUUUAGUCUCAAUUUAAUAUCAAAAACGUUUUAUUGUGGUUGUCCUGAAAACAUGGGAUUUCAUUUUCUUUUCUUGGUCCUCAUUGCACAAAACAUAUAAAAAAAUGUUAAGUAGAUGUUUUAAAGAUGAUUUUAAAAUGUGAAUUUGUGUUCCUGGUGGAAGUGAAUGAGUGUCUUGAAACAUUAAAAAGCCGGUGUGAUUCCUGGCACAAGGAAACCCCAAUGGAGCGUCAAAAUGCACUAUGGUUUUAUAUUUUAAAUGGUUUUAUCUGGACAUUAUUUUUGUUUGCCAUUACCAUGUACUUGCAGGUAACUUCCCAGAGCAAAGUCUGGACCUGGCCUCACACAUUACCCGACUAAUGCAUGUCCCCUUCAUAUCCAGAUGCGUUUCUGCAGAGACAUGCAGUUUACUUGGAUGGGUUCCUGGUGUGCAUGUGCGUGUGUGUGCGUGUGUGUGUGUGUUCACCCUGGCAUCCUGUCCAGGUAUUGUUCCUGCCUUGUUCCCUUAGCUUGCUGGAUUGGGCUUCAGCUUCCCAGUGAUCCUGCUCAGGAUGAAACAGGUUUUGAAAAUGGAUGGAUGGAUUUAUUGCCAGAAUAUGCGCAUGAUGUUAUUGUGUUCAAAAUAAUGAUUGCUUAAAUGACACUUUAUUGACAUGAUAUCAUCAUCCUCAUUGUUAUUCAAAUCAGAGUUGCCCAGGGGGCGGAGCCUAUCCCAUCAGCAUUAGACACAUGGCAGGACACAGCGCCGGACAGGAUGGCGCUUCAUUAUCAGCGGAUAACAUCAGAUUUACUCUGUAGUGGCAUCAAAAUGAGGACGAGGAAGCUUUUGCGUGUUUUGUUUUUUUAUGUUGCAGCAAUGCAAAGCAAAAUCUUUAAUAAUUGUUAGGGAAAUGGGGGCACUACACUUUCCCUCAGGAAUUCAUAUGAGUGAACCGCUUUUGCAGUUUGUGUUUGUAUUUUGUACAGACUGUAGUGCCUUUUAAUAGAGGCAAAUCAUACGCAAAUAGUUUUAUGUUUAUUGUUCACAGUGUAUAUUAAUUCAUUUCUGAAAAUUGUGGUUUACAAUUACUUUGUAAUAUUAUUAUUAUUAUUAUUAUUAUGAUGUGUAUGAGAUGUUCUUCAUUUCAAGCGUUGCAUACUCUUGGAUGCUAAAUGCAUUUAUUUGUGUAGUGUAAUGAUAUUUGUUCAUUUUAAGUAUUAAUAAUGAGUGUGUAAAUGCAGUCACUAACAGUAGGACAGUGUUUGUUUAAUUAAGCUCAGCACAUCAAUGGUGUAAUUGAUGAGCUGUUGAGCAAUAAGAGCAAUAAAUGCAUGUGACAUGUAUAUUGUACAGUUUGAUGUUAAGUAUGUAGUUGGUGUCUGUUGACGCUCUGCAUACACUUGUGUCCAUACUGUGUAUUGGUUAUAAAUGGAGUGCCAAACUGCACUCUUUGCACUGCCAACGGAUUACUGUUUACAGCCCAAUGUGCCCUUAUUCUGCAUAGUAAAGCAGUAUUGUGCAAAUAUGGUGACACUGAAAGGGCCAAAUUCAAAUGGAGAGCAGGGUCUUGGAAAAUCUUUUCCUGGGUUUCUUUGCUGCCAUCCAGAGAUCUUUAUACGUCUUAUGAAAUUAGCUUCUUGCUUUGGUGCCACCAGGAAUGUUUUGUGCCCCCUCUGGCGGCCACUGCUUUCCCACACUGAGCCUUGAAUUGGUCCUCCAGAUGCCCGCGUGGGCUUGUUUUAUAAGUAGCCCACCUGGCUGGUAACUUCUGUCAGUUGGGAAAGCUGUCACAGUAGAUACCCUGUGGCUAACCGGUCACUGCUAACUGUGGAUUGAGGGUGGAGUACUAAGUCCAUUUUGCCUUGUCCCAUGAGAGUGUACAUCCUGAUUGUACUUGUUUGGUGUACCUCGGCCAUUAUUUGAUUGUAAUUUUUCACUUGUUGACUCUUCUCUGUUUCUGUGUUUGAAUUGUCUCCCUCAUGAAGAAAUGGUGUAAUGAACAGUUAUUUUUUUCCCAUAACUGCUCACUAGAGGUUCCAUCCUUAUAAUGUUCUGGCCUUUUCUCACAUUACGACUGUCCCAAUUUACUUCCUCAAUACUGUAGAAGGAACCUUGAAUUUGUUUUUCUUGUUUUUCUCAUAUUUGUUUUCAAAUCCAUUUUGUAUUGUUUCCUUUACUUUACCUCGUUGUUUCAUUUGUCUGUUGACUCUUCAAUAAACUGUAAAACUUAUCUGUGAA